UACGAAGGGGGCUAGCGUUGUUCGGAAUUACUGGGCGUAAAGCGCACGUAGGCGGAUAUUUAAGUCAGGGGUGAAAUCCCAGAGCUCAACUCUGGAACUGCCUUUGAUACUGGGUAUCUAGAGUAUGGAAGAGGUGAGUGGAAUUCCGAGUGUAGAGGUGAAAUUCGUAGAUAUUCGGAGGAACACCAGUGGCGAAGGCGGCUCACUGGUCCAUUACUGACGCUGAGGUGCGAAAGCGUGGGGAGCAAACAGGAUUAGAAA
rnacentral:rRNA from 1 species